UGAGUAAGCCAGACAGUCGCGGGCGUGCCGUAAGGCGCGAAUGAGGAAAGUCCGAGCUCCAUAGGGCAGGGUGCCGGGUAACUCCCGGUGGAGGCGACUCUAAGGAAAGUGCAACAGAAAUAAACCGCUGACGCAAUUGAUUGCAAGCAAGGAUGGAAAGGCGAGGUAAGAGCUCACCGGCGGGCGGGAGACCGUCCGGCCAUGUAAACCCCACCUGGUGCAACACUGAUACGGAAGGCAUCAUUUGAUGCGCGCUUGCCCGGCGUAUUUGAUUCCGUGACGUGGCUUGAGCUGUGCAGAAAUGUACAGCCUAGAUAGAUGACUGUCAAAUACAGAACUCGGCUUAUAGGCUUGCUCACAAU
rnacentral:RNase_P_RNA from 1 species